rnacentral:rRNA from 1 species
AUCCAUGGCCAUAGGACUCUGAAAGAACCGCAUCCCGUCCGAUCUGCGCAGUUAACCAGAGUGCCGCUUAGUUAGUACCACGG